GUGCUAAUACAUGCAAGUCGAGCGAACGGACGAGAAGCUUGCUUCUCUGAUGUUAGCGGCGGACGGGUGAGUAACACGUGGAUAACCUACCUAUAAGACUGGGAUAACUUCGGGAAACCGGAGCUAAUACCGGAUAAUAUUUUGAACCGCAUGGUUCAAAAGUGAAAGACGGUCUUGCUGUCACUUAUAGAUGGAUCCGCGCUGCAUUAGCUAGUUGGUAAGGUAACGGCUUACCAAGGCAACGAUGCAUAGCCGACCUGAGAGGGUGAUCGGCCACACUGGAACUGAGACACGGUCCAGACUCCUACGGGAGGCAGCAGUAGGGAAUCUUCCGCAAUGGGCGAAAGCCUGACGGAGCAACGCCGCGUGAGUGAUGAAGGUCUUCGGAUCGUAAAACUCUGUUAUUAGGGAAGAACAUAUGUGUAAGUAACUGUGCACAUCUUGACGGUACCUAAUCAGAAAGCCACGGCUAACUACGUGCCAGCAGCCGCGGUAAUACGUAGGUGGCAAGCGUUAUCCGGAAUUAUUGGGCGUAAAGCGCGCGUAGGCGGUUUUUUAAGUCUGAUGUGAAAGCCCACGGCUCAACCGUGGAGGGUCAUUGGAAACUGGAAAACUUGAGUGCAGAAGAGGAAAGUGGAAUUCCAUGUGUAGCGGUGAAAUGCGCAGAGAUAUGGAGGAACACCAGUGGCGAAGGCGACUUUCUGGUCUGUAACUGACGCUGAUGUGCGAAAGCGUGGGGAUCAAACAGGAUUAGAUACCCUGGUAGUCCACGCCGUAAACGAUGAGUGCUAAGUGUUAGGGGGUUUCCGCCCCUUAGUGCUGCAGCUAACGCAUUAAGCACUCCGCCUGGGGAGUACGACCGCAAGGUUGAAACUCAAAGGAAUUGACGGGGACCCGCACAAGCGGUGGAGCAUGUGGUUUAAUUCGAAGCAACGCGAAGAACCUUACCAAAUCUUGACAUCCUUUGACAACUCUAGAGAUAGAGCCUUCCCCUUCGGGGGACAAAGUGACAGGUGGUGCAUGGUUGUCGUCAGCUCGUGUCGUGAGAUGUUGGGUUAAGUCCCGCAACGAGCGCAACCCUUAAGCUUAGUUGCCAUCAUUAAGUUGGGCACUCUAAGUUGACUGCCGGUGACAAACCGGAGGAAGGUGGGGAUGACGUCAAAUCAUCAUGCCCCUUAUGAUUUGGGCUACACACGUGCUACAAUGGACAAUACAAAGGGCAGCGAAACCGCGAGGUCAAGCAAAUCCCAUAAAGUUGUUCUCAGUUCGGAUUGUAGUCUGCAACUCGACUACAUGAAGCUGGAAUCGCUAGUAAUCGUAGAUCAGCAUGCUACGGUGAAUACGUUCCCGGGUCUUGUACACACCGCCCGUCACACCACGAGAGUUUGUAACACCCGAAGCCGGUGGAGUAACCUUUUAGGAGCUAGCCGUCGAAGGUGGACAAAA
rnacentral:rRNA from 1 species